GACAUGGGCCUACCAUGUUCAGCACACGGGCAAAGCACUGUCAAUUGGAAUUUUGGAGUGAGCCUAACUUUAUGGACUCCAAACAAAACAGAGGAGAGUUUGGGAACAGUGAAGACAGAGUAAGGCAGAAAGACAUCAGCAGCGCCUGUCAGCAGUUUUAGAAGUACGUCACUGCACGGACCCGAUGCCUUUUUGCAGGCUCUCUGAUGAACCCAAUACUCCUGAAUCUAUAAGAGAGGACAAGGACCGUCCCUCUGUUACAAAGGAUUGCAAUGAAAACCCUUCCUUGAGUUACACAGAAACACAGAAACAAAUUUCACAUACUGACAAGAUGGACAGAAAAAGGAAGGGGUGAGAGGUUGGACAUGUGAAAUGAACCUAUGAACCUGUGUGGUUUGGGAUACAGACCUGAAAAGAAAACGUUUCUCAUGGUAAUGCCCUCCAAUUAGAAAAGUAAUAUUUGCUUGAGUGGAAUGAUGUGUCUACGUUCCUUGGUCUGCAUUAUUGCAAAUAGUGUCAGAGAAGAGGAACCAGCAUGGAACUU